CCUACGGGUGGCAGCAGUGGGGAAUAUUGCACAAUGAGCGAAAGCCUGACGCAGCGACGCCGCGUGCGGGAUGAAGGUCUUCGGAUCGUAAACCUCUGUCAGCAGGGAAGAACGGUCACUGUGCUAAUCAGCAGUGAAUUGACGGUACCUGGAAAGGAAGCACCGGCUAACUCCGUGCCAGCAGCCGCGGUAAUACAGAGGUGGCGAGCGUUAAUCGGAAUUAGUGGGCGUAAAGCGUCCGUAGGGGGAUUGUAAAGUCAGGGGGGAAAUCCCGGGGCUCAACGGGGGAUCGCCUUUGAUACUAGCAAACUAGAGUGUGUGAGAGGAUAGUGGAAUUCCAGGUGUAGGAGUGAAAUGCGUAGAUAUCUGGAAGAACACCAGUGGCGAAGGCGACUAACUGGCACAUUACUGACGCUGAGGGGCGAAAGCGUGGGGAGCAAACAGGAUUAGAUACCCGAGUAGUC
rnacentral:rRNA from 1 species